rnacentral:rRNA from 1 species
UACAGAGGUCUCAAGCGUUGUUCGGAUUCAUUGGGCGUAAAGGGUGUGUAGGUGGCGCGCUAAGUCGGGUGUGAAAUUUCGGAGCUUAACUCCGAAACUGCAUUCGAUACUGGCGUGCUUGAGGACUGGAGAGGAGACUGGAAUUAGGUGUAGCAGUGAAAUGCGUAGAGAUCAUGAGGAAGACCAGUGGCGAAGGCGGGUCUCUGGACAGUUCCUGACGCUGAGGCACGAAGGUCAGGGGAGCAAACGGG